GUUACAUCAUGUUAGUAAGUUCAGUUUACCAGGAGCAGGUUGGGAACUGUCUGGAGCAGAAAUAAUCCAGCAUUAGGCUCUGGGGUACCUGAGGAGUGAGUGCGAGACCAGGCUGGUGUGGUAAGAGUCCUGUCUGAGACUGAGAUGGCAAGGAAAGCAGAUUGGGCUGCAGAAGUGCUGGAGGAAACAGCAUUUAAACAUUACAUCCACUGACCUUGGUGUCCUGAUUGGGCCUGUGAGAGGAGAAAUGAUGAAGGGGAGGACAGAUGAGAUCCAGGCAUCAGGACGAGCUGGGGGAGAGAGUGCAGGGAGGGCAGCUCCUAAAAAACACCAGCCAUU